CUUUUGCACGCUUAUGAGCAGGAGGUUGCUGCAGGUUGUAGUUCUUUGAUGGGUAAAUUUGAGCAAAUGUCUCAACUUUUGUCACCGACUCAGCGGGUCCUUUAGCUCAUGCUAAAGGAAUGAAAUCAAACAGGACUAAUAAAGAGAGGGUUAGAAAGAAUUUUUAUAUUGAUUAAUAUAGCAAUGUGAUUACUCAUAAGCAGAAAAGCCAGGAGAGGUGGCUCUGCCCCACUGGCAGAAGGGCAAGGAAGGCAAAGGAUAAACACAGAGCUGUGGAUCAGAAACUUGCAUAUUUAUAGGUUACAUAGCAAUAUUCAUUACUAAGUUGCAAUUUCUUAGUCCACCUGCACCGUUUUGCACAUGAUCAUAAAUGUGUCUCAAAUCGUUAAGUCUUGCCCCAGGUGUUUAUUUUACUGUGGAAGUGAAUUCCAAUGAGAGUCCUGGUUACCUGGUUACUUUCGGUUGUGGUCAGAUCUGGUUACAUCAAUUGAUUUUUUUUUUUUUUUUAAUUUUGAACAAUGAAUGCAGUUGGCUAGGGCUUUUGACCAUCCAUCUUGAGCAUAGAGCGUUUAGUGCCUUUUGUCACCAGUUUAACUCUAUACUCCUGCCUCAUUUUGACAUUUGUAACUAAGCAUGAGCCUAGAUGGCCCAAAAGCCUAAAUUGCUGUGAGUGAGCAGGAAUUAGGACAGGGGCCUGUGACUGAUUCACCUGGCAGGUUCCAGGUCCCAUGAGAUCAGCUCUUAUGCCAAACACUUCCUAGGGACUGUGUGCUACUGUGCCCGAGAGAGAGAGAGAGAGAGAGAGAGAGAGAGAGAGAGAGAGAGAGAGCUGUGAUAUUGCAAAGGAGGCUCUGAGAAGGCUGGAAGAUCAGGGAGAAGGUGCAUUAAAUCUAUAGGAAACCGGGUAGUCAUAAGCCAGGCAAACACAAGUUCUUUUAUUUCAACUUAAUUUCUAAUAUCUAUAACUCUCAAUCACAUAUCACACGUUACACAAUUUUUGCAAAGGCAAAAAGCAGAUAUAAAUGCAGAAUUACUGUAGGUGGUCAAAUAGAACUUGUCCAGGGUGCAGAGCCAGGUUCAGUGAAAGGCCAAGGCUCGUCAUCGGAGAUCAAAAUGCACACACAGAUAGCAGUGACAAAGAUGAAGCACUUUACUGCAAGCUGGUUCUAGCUUAUAUAGAAAGUGAGAGUCAGUUAUCUUAAACCAGGAAGCUCCCGGGGCCAAUCAUAGUAAAGGUCAGAUCAUCACCUACGGUGCACGCAUGUCCACCCUGCAUAAGAUUCAUGGGGGGCACCAGCUGUCCACGAUCACGGAAGAUGGGAGGACCAAUUAGAAAAUUUUCAAAACAACUUGUUAUCUGCCCACUGGCAACUUGCCUGCCGCCAUGUUGCAUUAGGGGCUCCUUAUCUGAAAGGCCCGGGGAGUUCUAGCCACCCACUGGCAAUUUGCCCACCGCCAUGUUUGAAAGGCCCAGGGAGUUCUCAUGGAGACUCCCAACAUUCAGAAUAGACAGCAGUUUCAGAGUGUCAGCUUGAGAUAUCAGCUUGGAGUGGGCCAUGUACUAUCAUCAUGGACAGGAGAAGUUGUACUCUGCUGAAGCCUGGGGAUGGAGAUUCAGAGGUUUAUUGCUGUGGUGAUUUUCCUGGGCAAGGCUCGUGAUGAAAAUUGAUCAGGCCAAGAUUUUGGAACUCAAACAGAAAUAGAGCCUACCAUCCCACACCGUAAUCCGAACGGAUGAAGACAGCAAGAAGCAAAGUACAUGGUUGACAGGCCUUGGAAUCUGGCAGAGGUGCCUCUGCAUGUAAUGCUGUGUUGGUUUUCUGAGUGCAGUGGCUUGAAAGCUGGGCUUCCUGUGAUGCCUUCUGGGGAGAAAGGAUGCUACUUGAACUUUCAGGGGCAUCUGGGAAGAAAUGUACCUUGGGAGCCAGGCCAGCACUCCAUGAGGAACAGGAAUUUCAAGUCUGGUGGAAGUCAUGGAACUGGAAGUCACAAGGAACUGGGGUUAUAUUGAAGCCAGAUUUAAAGUUAGGUAGUUAGUGUAGUUAGGUAAAUCGGGUCUAAUAUCGAGUGAAAUCUAAAAUGGAGACCAUGCGGAGAAUGACUCAGGGAAAACACAGGACAACUCAUGGAAUGUUAAUGAAGUCCCCGAAAAGGCCCUAGGCCAAGUCCACCUCAAAGAAAUGUUAAUGAACAGCCCCCAGCAAAAAGGUGCUGACUCAGAAGUCCUUCCUGACCAGAUUACUUCUUUGGCCCACCUGUGUCCCACCCCUGGGGCCUUCCCACCUACAUUCCAUCACUGAAAGAACUAUAAAAAGGGGAGACAACAUCCCUUCCACGGAUUCCACCUCUUGGGUCCCCUUCUUCCUCCGGGAGAAGUCUUUUCUGCUGUCCUUUAAUAAACUUCUAAUUUCUACUCUGACCUUGCCUCGGCAUGCUUCUUUGGUGUUAUUCUUCAACAUUGGGGAAGCAAGAACUCGUCACCGGUCAA